UACAGAGGUCUCAAGCGUUGUUCGGAUUCAUUGGGCGUAAAGGGUGUGUAGGUGGCGCGCUAAGUCGGGUGUGAAAUUUCGGAGCUUAACUCCGAAACUGCAUUCGAUACUGGCGUGCUUGAGGACUGGAGAGGAGACUGGAAUUUACGGUGUAGCAGUGAAAUGCGUAGAUAUCGUAAGGAAGACCAGUGGCGAAGGCGGGUCUGUGGACAGUUCCUGACACUGAGACACGAAGGCCAGGGGAGCAAACGGG
rnacentral:rRNA from 1 species